rnacentral:rRNA from 1 species
UACGAGGGGGGCUAGCGUUGCUCGGAAUCACUGGGCGUAAAGCGCACGUAGGCGGAUCUUUAAGUCAGGGGUGAAUCCCGGAGCUCAACUCCGGAACUGCCUUUGAUACUGGAGAUCUUGAGUCCGGGAGAGGUCGAGUGGUAACUGCGGAGUGUAGAGGUGAAAUUCGUAGAUAUUCGCAAGAACACCAGUGGCGAAGGCGGCUCACUGGCCCGGUACUGACG